GACAUAGGUGGCGAACGUUAUCCGGAAUUACUGGGCGUAAAGCGUGCGUAGACGGUUACAUAAGUCAGAUGUGAAAGCCCCGGGCUCAACCUGGGAAUUGCAUUUGAGACUGCGUAGCUAGGGUGCGGAAGAGGGAAGCGGAAUUUCCGGUGUAGCGGUGAAAUGCGUAGAUAUCUGGAGGAAUACCGGUGGCGAAGGCGGCAUCCUGGACCGGCAUUGACGCUGAUGAGCGAAAGCUAGGGGAGCAAACGGG
rnacentral:rRNA from 1 species